rnacentral:lncRNA from 1 species
UAGGACGGAGGAGGAUUUGUGGUCUGUGGGGACAUAUAUACACCCUAUAUGAGAAAAAAAUUAGUAAUUCAACAAAAAGUCAAAAAUUCUUGAAAAUAUUUUUCAAAUAAACUUGACCUUUUGCUGUACCCGUGAGAAAAAAUCCACACAAAAAAAUAUCCCUUUGACUUCUUUUCGAAAAAGACAAAUUUUUAGCUAAAAUAGUGUGAAUAGUGACCUAUAAUAGCAAAUAAAUUUUGUCUUUUUUGCUGUGAUGUCAAUUUUUGUUUUUUUUGUGUAAGUGUAUAUACCAGUGCAAAAGUAAGUCAAGUGUUUUGUCAAAAUAGUUCUUACCUAUUUUGACUUUUUUUAAAAAAUAUUUAAAAAAAAUCCCAUAUAGGGUGCAAAUACAACCAGGAACCAUUGGGUAUUUCCCUAGCUAGGACUUGCAACAUAACCGAUUCGGGACGGAACUACUGAUCCUACUUGGUGAUGGAUUCCUGCACGAGCCGGACAUGAGACGUGCUUUUUUUCUUGAGGGAAACGCCGCCGCAGCCGCCGCCAGCGAGUAACCCUAGGACAGGGCGCUAGGAUCCCCAGAGCAGGGUGGGCAGCAAGGAGUGGCGCAAGGAGGCCGUGUCGGUCGUUCCCGCCACCAGCGCUAAACCCCAGGUAUUUAUGUUCCGUGUCCUCCCCGCACUCUACGCUGAUACAUCAGCGAGGAGCUGACGGUGGAAAUGCUACUCCUCCCCAAACUCUAUGAUGCUUGAUUCGAUCUCGUGGUGUGGAACCAUUAAGGCGGGCAAGGCUAUUGAGUUUGCUCCUAACGCCGGCUUGGGCGAUGGGUGGGACGAAUGCGAGCAGCGGCCAACGGCGGACAUGGACUCAAGCCAGCACAGGUCCACGGCGGAGGAGCGCACCUGCUGGUCUUCACUUGGUAGGCGGCAGCAAUUUCCGCAUCAAGGUAUGUGCUCUUUUUUACAUUCUUGUCAUGUAUGAUUGAGAAUCGUUGUAUUAGCUCAUGGGCGCCUGUACCAGCAGUCCACAUUUGAUUCGCGGUCAGCUUGGGUGUUGUGGAGCACAGGGAAGGAGGAGAAGGAGGGCAGGUGUUUACAAUUCGGUGCCAAGGGAGAUAAUCGAGAUGGUGGCGCAGAAUUAGAGAAUGCCAGGUGACCAAGAGACACCACCCAACGGCCAUCGAUGCAGUGAGGAGUGUGGUGUUCUACAGUAUGGUAAUUGAGUUUUUGGUCCUAUAAUAUCGGAGAGUGUGUGUGUGAGUGUGUGUGUGUGUGUCCGAGAGAGAGAN